rnacentral:rRNA from 1 species
CUAUCGGAGUCCGAUUUAGCCAUGCUAGUUGCACGAGUUCAGACUCGUAGCAUAUAGCUCAGUAACACGUGGCCAAACUACUCUACAGACCGCGAUAACCUCGGGAAACUGAGGCCAAUAGCGGAUAUAACUCCCAGGCUGGAGUGCCGAGAGUUAGAAACGUUCCGGCGCUGUAGGAUGUGGCUGCGGCCGAUUAGGUAGAUGGUGGGGUAACGGCCCACCAUGCCGAUAAUCGGUACAGGUUGUGAGAGCAAGAGCCUGAAGACGGUAUCUGAGACAAGAUACCGGGCCCUACGGGGCGCAGCAGGCGCGAAACCUUUACACUGCACGACAGUGCGAUAGGGGGACUCCGAGUGUGAGGGCAUAUAGCCCUCGCUUUUCUGAACCGUAAGGUGGUUCAGGAACAAGGACUGGGCAAGACCGGUGCCAGCCGCCGCGGUAAUACCGGCAGUCCAAGUGAUGGCCGAUAUUAUUGGGCCUAAAGCGUCCGUAGCUUGCUGUGUAAGUCCAUUGGGAAAUCGACCAGCUCAACUGGUCGGCGUCCGGUGGAAACUACACAGCUCGGGGCCGAGAGACUCAACGGGGACGUCCGGGGUAGGAGUGAAAUCCUGUAAUCCUGGACGGACCACCAAUGGGGAAACCACGUUGAGAGACCGGACCCGACAGUGAGGGACGAAAGCCAGGGUCUCGAACCGGAUUAGAUACCCGGGUAGUCCUGGCUGUAAACAUGCUCGCUAGGUAUGUCACGCGCCAUGAGCACGUGAUGUGCCGUAGUGAAGACGAUAAGCGAGCCGCCUGGGAAGUACGUCCGCAAG